rnacentral:rRNA from 1 species
UACGAAGGGGGCUAGCGUUGCUCGGAAUCACUGGGCGUAAAGGGUGCGUAGGCGGGUCUUUAAGUCAGGGGUGAAAUCCUGGAGCUCAACUCCAGAACUGCCUUUGAUACUGAGGAUCUUGAGUUCGGGAGAGGUGAGUGGAACUGCGAGUGUAGAGGUGAAAUUCGUAGAUAUUCGCAAGAACACCAGUGGCGAAGGCGGCUCACUGGCCCGGUACUGACGCUGAGGCUGCGAAAGCGUGGGAGCAAACAGG